AUUGAACGCUGGCGGCGUGCUUAACACAUGCAAGUCGAUCGGUAACAGGUGUAGCAAUACAUGCUGACGAGAGGCGGACGGGUGAGGAACGCUUGGGAAUCUGCCUAUCAGCGGGGGACAACCCGGGGAAACCCGGGCUAAUACCGCAUACGCUCUACGGAGGAAAGCCGGGGACCGCAAGGCCUGGCACUGAUAGAUGAGCCCAAGCCGGAUUAGCUAGUUGGCGGGGUAACGGCCCACCAAGGCGCCGAUCCGUAGCUGGUCUGAGAGGACGAUCAGCCACACCGGAACUGAGACACGGUCCGGACUCCUACGGGAGGCAGCAGUGGGGAAUAUUGGACAAUGGGCGAAAGCCUGAUCCAGCGACGCCGCGUGGGUGAAGAAGGCCUGCGGGUUGUAAAGCCCUUUCGGUAGGGACGAAAGCUCUCGACCUAACACGUCGGGAGGUUGACUUAACCUACAAAAGAAGCACCGGCUAACUCUGUGCCAGCCGCCGCAGUAAUAC
rnacentral:rRNA from 1 species